GGAGUUUGGACCGUGUCUCAGUUCCAAUGUGGGGGACCUUCCUCUCAGAACCCCUACUGAUCGUUGACUAGGUGGGCCGUUACCCCGCCUACUAUCUAAUCAGACGCAUCCCCAUCCCUUAGCGAUGAAUCUUUGGUUUGAUUUUGAUGUCAGCAUCAAACAACAUAGGGAAUUAAUCCGACUUUCGCCGGGCUGUGCCCUACUAAGGGGAAGGUUGGAUACGCGUUACUCACCCGUGCGCCGGUCGCCAUCUAUCAAAGCAAGCUUCGAUAAUGAUGCCCCUCGACUUGCAUGUGUUAAGCCUGUAGCUAGCGUUCAUC
rnacentral:rRNA from 1 species